rnacentral:rRNA from 1 species
GAUGAACGCUAGCGGCAGGCUUCUUUUAUGCAAGUCAAGGGGGUAGCAAUACAACCGGCGCACGGGUGAGUAACGCGUACACAACAUACCAUAUACUGGGGUAUAGCUUUGGAAAACUGAAGGUAAUCCCCCAUAACAUUGCGAGAGGGCAUCUGAUUGCAAUUAAAGUUUCAACGGUAUAUGAUUGGUGUGCGUUUGAUUAGCUUGUUGGUAGGGUAACGGCCUACCAAGGCGACAAUCAAUAGCUGGCGUGAGAGCGCGACCAGCCACACUGGAACUGAAACACGGUCCAAACCCCUACGGGAGGCAGCAGUAAGGAAUAUUGGUCAAUGGACAAAAGUCUGAACCACCCAUGCCGCGUGAAGGAUGAAGGUCCUCUGGAUUGUAAACUUCUUUUAUCUGGAACAAAAAAAGGUCAUUCCUGACCACUUGACGGUACCAAAGGAAUAAGCACCGGCUAACUCCGUGCCAC